UCCGAGUCAGGGUGAAACAAUGGAGCUUUGCUCCAAGAUAUUGAAGCGAACUGAUGUUGAGGUUAGGCUAUCAUUUCCAACUGCUACGAUGAGAAAACAUUUCAGACUAGAUCAGGAAGGGGGUAAGUCUGUGGACUUUAAAGUCACGGACAAGUAUGGGAAGGUCUGGCCAUUUCGCCUCUACACUAGGAAUAACGGCCACCCAAAGCCUGUUCUCACCAAAGGAUGGAUUAACUUUGUGAAAAAGAAUAAACUCAGAGUGGGAGAUAAGGUGAUUUUCUUUGUGCACGAAAAUGGAGACCAGCUAGGGAUUCGGGUACAGAGAAACAUAAAGCUACUCGGUCAGGAGCAUUGGGCUGAAUAUAUGUGAUCGAAAUUGAAGCAAAAAUGGUACUAGACUAUAUAUAAAGGUAUUGGCUUUUAGUGCAAGGUGUGAUGGUCCUUAUUGACCUUUGUGUCUAGUUUUACUAGUUUGCUUUGUGUCUAGCUAGCUUCUUAUUGACCUAACUGUUGAUUUAUUUGUAAUUUCUAGGUGUGCUUGUCAUGUUAUUUUUAAUCUCCAUGAUGUAAAAUAUGAUGUAUUUGGUGUUGUUACAAAUUAAAACUAUGUGGCUUUCAGGUUUUUAGCAGAUUAAUGGUGCUUGGUUUUCCGAUGAACCCUUCUUCUCGUAUAUUACAAAAAACUAACCCAUUUCUAAAGUAAUGUUCUUUUAGAAAUAUUUUUUUGACGAAUAUUCGAUGAAAAAUUUUAUUGAAAAAAAUUUUAAACAGUAUAAAUCUUUUGUUGAAAAUAAAAAUUUUGUCAAAAUUGUUUGAAACUUACCCAUGGAAAAUUUUAUCGGAAAUGCCAUUUAACUCUGUCAAUAAAUAAAUAAAAUAUUCAUUGAAUAUUAAAAUAUAUUUAGUCAGAAAUUUAAAGGUGAAUUUUUUUAGGCACCAACCAAUAUUUGUAACUGCAGUUACUAAUACCUUGGAGAAAUCAAUUAAAGUUUGUUUACUCGUUUUUUUUAAAUGAAAUAAAAAUAUAAGUAAAAUCUACAUUCGCAUGGAUAAUAACAAGCAUUAACAUUACACGUGUAAAAAUACAAUAACAAAAAUCAAGGUGAGCCCCUUUGGGGAAAUUUUAACAAUAAUGAUCUAAAUUUAUUUGAAUAAGGAAAUUAAUUGCCUGAAAAAACGAAAAUAAGAUGAAAGUGAGAGAGACAGAGUCUGCGGGCUGGGCCUUAUCUGCCGAGGCAGCGUUUGCGAGCGGCCCCAGAAGGGUGAGGAUGUUUCUUUGUUUUGGUAGGUAACCGAAAGGCCUUUGGGGAAAGGGCCCAUUGGAGUAAGAAAUUUUGCAAGUUUCAUUAAAUAUUGGAUUCUAGUUAUCAAUUCAUGUGAUUUUUUUAUAAUUAUAAUUUUUUAUAAAAAAUAUUGUUUUUUAUUUAUAACUUUUCAUGUUAAGAAAUAUAGCUUUUCAUUUUGAAAAUACACUGAAAAAUGAUGCUAAGUUAUCUUUGUAAAAGAUAAUUGAAGAAAGAGAUGACUGAAAAACAUUCUUUUUUAGAUCAUAAAAGAACUUGAAACUAUUUCUUCAUAAUGCAGAAAAUAUUCAAAAAAUAUUACUAAAUUUUUGAAUAGUGAAAUAUUAUUAAUAUAUAUUUGACUAUUAUAUAUAAAUAUAAUUUUAUUAAAAAAAUAUAAAUAUAAUUGACUAUUAUAAAUAAAUAUUUACUAUUUAUAUAUAAUAGACUAUUCUCUUUCUUGCAACCACCUUUAAUUUUAAAUCUUCCUUCGCUCUAGAAUGACAAGGCACCCUCAGUAUUAGUGGACAGAGUUGUGUGAGCAUUACAACUUCAUUUAUCAGAGUUACUUAUUAUAUUUUGUUGGUAGUUUAGAAUGGUGUUCCAUCUUUUUUCUCACAUUCGAAUGGAAGAAGUCCUUUGAAAUGCUUUUUGGUGGACUAAUUAGUGCUUGAUAUGUACUUGGUGACAAUAAGAUUUGGUUUCAAACAAUCAAAAUAAAUUAAUGCAAAUGUUUAAUUAUAAAAAAUUCUGAAAAAUUAUAUUUAAUAAUCAUGUGAAAAUUAAAUUAUAUUUGCUCAUUAAAUAAGUGAUGAGUUAUUUUUAUUAUUCAUUAACGAAAUAUUACAUUUAUUCACCAAAUGUUUCUUAAAGAAUGACAUAUUGUUUCACAAACUGUAAAAAGAGUUAUCCUACUUCAAACAUUUUCAGGGUUUGGUUUAUCUUAAAGUUGUAAUUACCUUUAAGAAAGUAUACAAUCACAGGCCUCAACAUGCAACACCAAAAUAACACAACCAGGGUAACCAUCUCAAAGCAUCUUACCAGAAACGACAUGGAGCAAAGCUUAUUAUUCCCUGUUCCUCGUAUCUUCAAUGUACAAGAAGGGGAUUUGGUUUACAUGCACGUUCAUUAGUCGUUACAGCUUCGGGGGCACUUGGAAAUUUCCUUGUUACAUCAAGAAAAAUAAUUGAUUAAGGCAAAUCAUUAGGCAUAUUCUUUAUGAUCACUUUUUGAUUUAUGCGACCAUAGGACAUUACAUGAAAAUACUUGUCGUAACGUACGAGUUCGAAAACCCGACCACAAGACAUGGGGAAAAAACAAGUUAGGAGUCACCACUAAUCGUCUUUUUCUAGGUGCAAUUGGUCACCUAUUAACUCGAUUUUAAUCGACGAAAUUCUAAAUUAAUUUUAAAUUCAUCGAAAAAUGAGAACUGGUCUACGAUUUUUUAGAGAUGGAUUCGAAAGUACGGUUACUCACAGAGAAAGGUUAGCACCUCCGUGGCGCUCGUUCCACGAACAGUACCAUUUAAUCUUAAGUUAUCCUAUUUGUAGCCUGCCCUUGAUUUUAUUCCUAUAUUUUCUUAAUCCUUACUUAUUAAUUAAUUCUUUAUUAUAUUAGCUGAUUGAGUCCUUUAUUUAGUUUCACGGAUGCACAUGAUACAAUUGUAAAAUGAUGUUAUGAUUUGUUCAAUUUUAAAUGAUGAGGUUAGCAAUCUUUUAUUGAAAAAUCGUUCGUAGACCGUCCCAACGCUUUGAUGAAGUCUCGAAGUUUUCCUCAUUUAGGAAUAUUCCGAAAAGAACUUGUCUUUACGAGCUCUUCAAAAGAAUCCCAUCAUCGGAAUUCACCUCUCCAUUAACAAGAUAAACGUGGCAUGUUAUGAUAAGAUAAAAUGAUGAUAUUUACAUGAACGCAUUUAUUAAUUUAGUUGGUUCGUUAUUCAUGCAAUGAUAUGUUUAAUAAUUUAAGAUGAUUUAUUACCUUGUUCAUAUAUUUAUUAUUUUUUAAAGCUUUCUAUUUAAAUUUAUAUUCCUUAAUUAACAUUAUGGAUUAAUAUUUUUACUUAACUAUAUAUUUUAUCAAACAAACAAUUAAUUAAUUUUUAAUGGUUGAAUUAACUUUAUUUAGUGAUGUUUGUUUAAGCUAAUUAACUAACUACAUUAAUUUAGAUUUAAAUGCAACAUUAUGUAAAUUUAUUUUUUUAAUAUAUAUUAUUUUUUAUCUUUACGUUUCGGUGAAAAUCUAUCUCGAACUCUGCACUUAAAAAAUUCAUUUGAAAAAGGUAACUUUUUACCUUCAUCCUCUAUAAGAAAAGAAAUGCAUCUUCAUUUUUUGAUGUAUUUUAUAAUAUAUCUUGAUUUUUAUAUUUUCUUCUUAUAUAUAUAUAUAAAAAGUAAAUUAAGCCUAACCAUAUAAAACCUUCACAAUAAGCUCAUUAACACAAACUAAGCACAAAUUCAAAAAAAAUAAAAGAAGUAAUCAAACCUUUUUUGGGCUCAGGUCAAUAUAACAUAUUGGGCUUAGGAAAAAACUAGUGAGUGUGCUCCAAGAGCCCACUCCCAUUUUUCUUUCCUUUCUCUUUUAUUAAUAUUAUUUUUUCCUCAGCCACCACACGUUUUCUUCUCUCCUUUUUUUUUUUUAAAUUUUUUUCUUUGUUUUUUCUUUCUUGCCCUGUACGGUCAACUGCCCUUUCUUCCCUCUCUUUCCUUUUCUUUUUUGGCUUUUCUCUUUCUUUUCUUCUCCUUUUGGCCGGUGUCUUCCUUCCUUCUUUCUUCUCUCUUUCCUUGGCUUUCCUUUCUCUCCCUCUUUCUCUUUUUUCUUGUCCUUCCCUCUCUCCCUCGUCGGCGUCUUCUCUUACCGUUGGCGACUCUUCCUUUCUCUCCCUAUCUCUUUCUUCUUCUCUCUUCCUCUUUCUUCUUCAGAUUUUCUCUUCUCUCUCACUAACCGAACCCCCAUUUUCCCUGUCUUUCUCCCCUCUUUUUUUUUUUUUUGAUUUUUAGCUUUUUUUUAGCGCUUGUGGUUAGGUGUUUUGACUGGUAGAACUUACGAUCUUCUUUUGGCUAUUGUGUUUUUUUUUUUUGGUUUUUGAAAGAUUGAUUUUUUGAUCGUCUUCUGGUUUUUAAAAAUCCUCUGCCAGCCUCCCGUUUUGAAUCAGAGUUUUUGGGUUCUUAUAGAACCUAAUUGUCUAAGGCAAUCAUACUCUUCUCACCAUGAAUUCCGGAUAAGUGGCUUUAAGUUACAAAAAAUCCAUCGAAAAUGACCUCAAAUCCCAACUGCAAUUGAGAUGGGAAGGGUGCCUAUAAAUAGAUAGUAAUUAAUAGAGUUCAUUAUAGCCUUGUCAAAACCGUCCGUGUCAGAGUGAACCAAUGGUGCUUUUCUCCAAGAUAUUGAAUCGAACUGAUGUUGAGGUUAGGCUAUCAUUUCCAACUGCUUCGAUGAGAAAACAUUUCAGACUAGAUCAGGAAGGGGGUAAGUCUGUGGACUUUAAAGUCACGGACAGGUGUGGGAAGGUCUGGCCAUUUCGCCUGUACACUAGGAAAAACGGCCACCCAAAACCUGUUCUCACCAAAGGAUGGAUUAACUUUGUGAAAAAGAAUAAACUCAGAGUGGGAGAUAAGGUGAUUUUCUUUGUGCACGAAAAUGGAGACCAGCUAGGGAUUCGGGUACAGAGAAGCAUAAGGCUACUCUGUCAGGAGCAUUGGGCUGAAUAUAUGUGAUCGAAAUUGAAGCCAAAAUGGUACUAGACUAUAUAUAAAGGUAUUAGCUUUUAGUGCAAGGUGUGAUGGUCCUUAUUGACCUUUGUGUCUAGUUUUACUAGUUUCCUAGCAUCAGUCUGUUUUACUAGUUUGUUUUGUGUCUAGCUAGCUUCUUAUUGACCUAACUGUUGAUUUAUCUCUAAUUUCUAGGUGUGCUUGUCAUGUUAUUUUUAAUCUCCAUGAUGUAAAAUAUGAAGUAUUUGGUGUUGUUACAAAUUAAAACUAUGUGGCUUUCAGGUUUUUAGCAGAUCAAUGGUGCUUGGUUUUCC
rnacentral:lncRNA from 1 species